UAGGGAAUAUUGCGCAAUGGGCGAAAGCCUGACGCAGCGACGCCGCGUGAGGGAUGAAGGCCUUCGGGUUGUAAACCUCUUUAGGGAGGUAGGAAUACUGACCGCCUCCUAAAUAAGCACCGGCUAACUCCGUGCCAGCAGCUGCGGUAAUACGGAGAGUGCAAACGUUGUUCGGAUUCACUGGGCGUAAAGGGCACGUAGGCGGCCAGGCAAAUCGAUCGUGAAAUACCGACGCUCACCGUCGGUGCGGCGGUCGAAAAUACCUGGCUUGAGGAUGUGAGAGGUCGCUGGAACUCCUGGUGGAGCGGUGAAAUGCGUAGAUAUCAGGAGGAACGCCGGCGGCGAAAGCGGGCGACUGGCGCAUUCCUGACGCUGAGGUGCGAAAGCUGGGGGAGCAAACAGGAUUAGAUACCCCCGUAGUCC
rnacentral:rRNA from 1 species